rnacentral:rRNA from 1 species
AGAGUUUGAUCCCGGCUCAGAAUCAACGCUGGCGGCGCGCCUAACACAUGCAAGUCGAACGAGAAAGUGGAGCAAUCCAUGAGUAAAGUGGCGUACGGGUGAGUAACACGUGGAUUAUCUACCCUCUAGUGGGGAAUACCGCUGGGAAACCGGCGACAAUACCGCAUAAGCUCGAGAGAGGAAAGCAGCAAUGCGCUGGAGGAGGAGUCCGCGUCGAUUAGUUAGUUGGCGGGGUAAAGGCCCACCAAGACUGUGAUCGAUAGCCGGCCUGAGAGGGCACACCGCCACACUGGCACUGAAACACGGGCCAGACUCCUACGGGAGGCAGCAGUGGGGAAUCUUGCACAAUGGGGGAAACCCUGAUGCAGCGACGCCGCGUGAGCGAUGAAGCCCCUCGGGGUGUAAAGCUCUUUCGGCAGGGAAGAUUAUGACGGUACCUGCAAAAGCAGCUGCGGCUAACUACGUGCCAGCAGCCGCGGUAAUACGUAGGCAGCAAGCGUUGUUCGGAGUUACUGGGCGUAAAGGGUGCGUAGGCGGCCUUUUAAGUUUGGUGUGAAAUCUCCCGGCUCAACUGGGAGGGUGCGCCGAAUACUGAGAGGCUAGAGUGUGGGAGAGGAAAGUGGAAUUCCUGGUGUAGCGGUGAAAUGCGUAGAUAUCAGGAGGAACACCGGUGGUGUAAACGGCUUUCUGGACCAUAACUGACGCUGAGGCACGAAAGCGUGGGUAGCAAACAGGAUUAGAUACCCUGGUAGUCCACGCCCUAAACGAUGCAUAUUUGGUGUGGGCCAUUCAUUUGGUCCGUGCCGGAGCUAACGCGUUAAAUAUGCCGCCUGGGGAGUACAGUCGCAAGGCUGAAACUCAAAGGAAUUGACGGGGGCCCGCACAAGCGGUGGAGCAUGUGGUUUAAUUCGACGCAACGCGAAGAACCUUACCUGGGCUCGAAAUGCUAUGGACCAGCUGGUGAAAGCCGGCCUUCCCGCAAGGGACUGUAGUAUAGGUGCUGCAUGGCUGUCGUCAGCUCGUGUCGUGAGAUGUUGGGUUAAGUCCCGCAACGAGCGCAACCCUUGUCCUGUGUUGCCAUCAUUCAGUUGGGAACUCGCAGGAGACCGCCAGGGAUAACCUGGAGGAAGGUGGGGAUGACGUCAAGUCCUCAUGGCCUUUAUGUCCAGGGCUACACACGUGCUACAAUGGACGGUACAAAGGGCUGCCAACCCGCAAGGGGGAGCCAAUCCC